rnacentral:rRNA from 1 species
CUACGGGCCGCACCAGGCGCGAAAACUUCGCAAUGCGGGAAACCGUGACGAGGGAAUUCUGAGUGCUCAUACAAUGUAUGGGCUUUUCUGACGUGUAAAUAGCAUCAGGAAUAAGGGCUGGGUAAGACCGGUGCCAGCCGCCGCGGUAAUACCGGCAGCUCGAGUGGUAGCCGCUUUUAUUGGGCCUAAAGCGUCCGUAGCCGGUCAGGUAAAUCCUUGGGUAAAUCGUAUCGCUCAACGAUACGACCUCCGGGGAGACUGCCUGACUUGGGACCGGGAGAGGUUGGAGGUACUCCUGGGGUAGGGGUGAAAUCCUGUAAUCCUAGGUGGACCAUCGGUGGCGAAGGCGUCCAACCAGAACGGCUCCGACGGUGAGGGACGAAGGCUAGGGGCGCAAACCGGAUUAGAUACCCGCGUAGUC